rfam:Gossypium raimondii Chr13_contig_1355, whole genome shotgun sequence.
UGUUAAAAAAUUCAUCUAUUUGUAUCGUUAAAAAUUGACUAGACUAAUGAACACGUAUACCUCAUACUGACAUACAGGGACAAUUUUUUAACAGUAAAAAUUGAUAGAAAUUUUAAUA